ACCCACACUUCCCUCAAAGUUCCUCCAAUUUUGGAGAGCGAAAAUGUAGUCAUUAGUAAUUUUGUUUCUAAAUCCUCCAAAAAGUUGAAUUUGAACAUCUCGACUUUUUAUUGGAUCUUCCAAAUCAUGUUCAAAUUUUGUGUGAGCUCUACUUCAAAGUAUCCAAAAUAUGGUGAUUUGGUGUGAGCAUUGUGAGAAGACAGGGGGCUUGAACAUAUUAUUGCUGGAACUACUUUAUAUGUGGUGAAGCCUGAUGAUAAUCCAGAAGAUAGUAUCGGUCAUGAGCAGGAUUGGUGAGGGUUUUUUGUGUGCCAAGCAACAAAUAUGAAAAUAAAAAACCUUGUUGGGGACACUGAAAAUGCUAGUUUUUUUGUGUGGUCAGAAUGGUUCAUACAAUAUUCUAUUUUGUCCAAGAACCAACCAUUGAUUAUGUCAAAUUGACUUUCCUUUUUACUAUAAACCUUGAUGUGUUAUGUUUUAUGUUCCUCCUUUAUCAUAUUUUUCAUGUCGGUACUCUUGAAUUUGAGUAUUAAGACCUUGUUAAGCAAAGGGAAAAUUUUAGAAGAUUCCUUUAA